rnacentral:rRNA from 1 species
AGAGUUUGAUCCUGGCUCAGAACGAACGCUGGCGGCAUGCCCUAACACAUGCAAGUCGAACGAAGCCUUCGGGCUUAGUGGCGCACGGGUG